CAGAAUGCCCAAUUAAUUUGAAUUUCAGGUAGACAAUGAAUAACUUUUUGUAUAAGUAUGUCCCAUGUAAUAUUUGGGACAUACUUAUACUAAAAAUUAUUUGCUGUCUAUCCAAAAUUUAAAUUUAAGUGGGCAUCCUGUA
rnacentral:miRNA from 1 species